UACGUAGGGUGCAAGCGUUGUCCGGAAUUAUUGGGCGUAAAGAGCUCGUAGGCGGUUUGUCGCGUCGGCUGUGAAAACCUGGGGCUCAACCCCGGGCCUGCAGCCGAUACGGGCAAACUAGAAUUCGGUAGGGGAGACUGGAAUUCCUGGUGUAGCGGUGAAAUGCGCAGAUAUCAGGAGGAACACCGGUGGCGAAGGCGGUUCUCUGGGCCUUACCUGACACUGAGGAGCGAAAGCGUGGGGAGCGAACAGG
rnacentral:rRNA from 1 species